GAUCCUGGUUCAGGACGAACGCUGGCGGCGCGCAUAACACAUGCAAGUCGAACGAGCGAGAGAGAGCUUGCUUUCUCAAGCGAGUGGCGAACGGGUGAGUAACGCGUGAGGAACCUGCCUCAAAGAGGGGGACAACAGUUGGAAACGACUGCUAAUACCGCAUAAGCCCACGACCCGGCAUCGGGUAGAGGGAAAAGGAGCAAUCCGCUUUGAGAUGGCCUCGCGUCCGAUUAGCUAGUUGGUG
rnacentral:rRNA from 1 species